CCUACGGGAGGCAGCAGUGAGGAAUAUUGGUCAAUGUCCGGAAGGCUGAACCAGCCAAGCCGCGUGAAGGACGAAGGUGCCAAGCAUUGUAAACUUCUUUUGUCAAGGGACAAAAUCAGGCUCGAGAGCCUGACCGAGGGUACUCGAAGAAAAAGCAUCGGCAAACUCCGUGCCAGCAGCCGCGGUAAUACGGGGGAUGCGAGCGUUAUCAGGAUUUAGUGGGGUAAAAGGGUGCGUAGGCGGACUGUUAAGUCAGCGGUAAAAGCCCGGGGCUCAACCCCGGCGAGCCGUUGAAACUGGCUGUCUUGAGAUGUCGAGAGGUAUGCGGAAUGCGGGGUGUAGCGGUGAAAUGCUUAGAUAUUGGGAAGAACUCCGGUUGCGAAGGCAGAAUGCCGGCGGCGAUCUGACGCUGAGGCACGAAAGCGUGGGUAUCGAACAGGAUUAGAUACCCUUGUAGUC
rnacentral:rRNA from 1 species